rnacentral:rRNA from 1 species
CCUACGGGGGGCAGCAGUGAGGUAUAUUGGUCAAUGGACGAGAGUCUGAACCAGCGAAGUAGCGUGAAGGAUGACUGCCCUAUGGGUUGUAAACUUCUUUUAUAUGGGAAUAAAACGUUCCACGUGUGGGAUUUUGUAUGUACCAUAUGAAUAAGGAUCGGCUAACUCCGUGCCAGCAGCCGCGGUAAUACGGAGGAUCCGAGCGUUAUCCGGAUUUAUUGGGUUUAAAGGGAGCGUAGGUGGAUUGGUAAGUCAGUUGUGAAAGUUUGCGGCUCAACCGUAAAAUUGCAGUUGAAACUGGCAGUCUUGAGUACAGUAGAGGUGGGCGGAAUUCGUGGUGUAGCGGUGAAAUGCUUAGAUAUCACGAAGAACUCCGAUUGCGAAGGCAGUUCACUGGACUGCAACUGACACUGAGGCUCGAAAGUGUGGGUAUCAAACAGGAUUAGAUACCCCAGUAGUC